rnacentral:rRNA from 1 species
UACGGAGGGCGCAAGCGUUUUUCGGAAUCACUGGGCGUAAAGCGCGUGUAGGCGGCUUGGCAAGUCGGGUGUGAAAUCCCGAGGUUCAACCUCGGAAAUGCACUCGAAACUGCCUGGCUCGAGUCCCGGAGAGGGUGGCGGAAUUCCCGGUGUAGGGGUGAAAUCCGUAGAUAUCGGGAGGAACACCAGUGGCGAAGGCGGCCACCUGGACGGUGACUGACGCUGAGACGCGAAAGCGUGGGGAGCAAACAGG